GAUGAACGCUGGCGGCGUGCCUAACACAUGCAAGUCGAGCGAAGCGCCUUACUUGAUUUCUUCGGGAUGAAAGUAUUGUGACUGAGCGGCGGACGGGUGAGUAACGCGUGGAUAACCUGCCUCAUACAGGGGGAUAACAGUUAGAAAUGACUGCUAAUACCGCAUAAGACCACAGCACCGCAUGGUGCAGGGGGAAAAACUCCGGUGGUAUGAGAUGGAUCCGCGUCUGAUUAGCUAGUUGGUAAGGUAACGGCUUACCAAGGCAACGAUCAGUAGCCGACCUGAGAGGGUGACCGGCCACAUUGGGACUGAGACACGGCCCAAACUCCUACGGGAGGCAGCAGUGGGGAAUAUUGCACAAUGGGGGAAACCCUGAUGCAGCGACGCCGCGUGAGCGAUGAAGUAUUUCGGUAUGUAAAGCUCUAUCAGCAGGGAAGAUAAUGACGGUACCKACWAKAGCCCGYCU
rnacentral:rRNA from 1 species